UCACGUUUCACCCAUUUCACUAGACCAGUGGUUCUCACACUUUAGAGUGCCUCAGAGUCACCUACAGGGCUUGUUAAACCACAGAUUGCAGGGGUACCUAAGCCCAGAAUUUCUGAUUUGGUAGGUCUGGAGUAGGUCCUGAUAAUCUGCUUUUCUAACAGGUUGUCGGGUGAUGCUGAUUGUGCUAGUCCUAGGAACAUCUUAAUAACUACGUCGCCUUAUUAAGCCUUGGAUAAAGAAGACCACUUCAUGGUACCAUCAGAUGGAGGCCCCUGACCUGAGGAAACCCUACUUCACCAUCGGCAGAACCAG
rnacentral:lncRNA from 1 species